ACAGCAGUCGCCACGGUAAUACAGAGGGUGCGAGCGUUAAUCGGAUUUACUGGGCGUAAAGCGUGCGUAGGCGGCUUCUUAAGUCGGAUGUGAAAUCCCUGAGCUUAACUUAGGAAUUGCAUUCGAUACUGGGAAGCUAGAGUAUGGGAGAGGAUGGUAGAAUUCCAGGUGUAGCGGUGAAAUGCGUAGAGAUCUGGAGGAAUACCGAUGGCGAAGGCAGCCAUCUGGCCUAAUACUGACGCUGAGGUACGAAAGCAUGGGGAGCAAACAGGAUUAGAUACCCCUGUAGUCCCUGUCUCUUAUAA
rnacentral:rRNA from 1 species